CCUGUCAGCAGCUGCUGGUGAUGUCAUGUGGAACAGCAGCACCUCCCUCCCUCACUAUUUACAAGUCUUCACUGCAGACUUCAGCCCUGGCUGCACAAACACUGUGUGUGUCUGUGCAUGUGUGCAUGUGUGUGUGUGUGUUCCCUCCAUGUUUUCAGCUGCCACCUCAGGAUCAACCUCAUCAACACGUUGUUCAGAGAACUACAGCUACACUGGACCUCCAACCCUUCCUCUUUUUCUAAACCCACACAUUAAAGUGUCUGCUGACUAAACAUGAUUCAAAGCCGCUCAGACAAGCUUUAUCAUUAAAAGCGCCUGAGAAACACAUUUUUUUUCUUCCCAGCCGGGACAGGCCCCUGAUGCUAUCAGUCAUGUGAGACAAGCUUUAUUGAACAAGUGUGUUGAUCGCUGCCGGGCACCAUGAACAGACACCUGGAGAGCAGAGAGCAGUUAAAGAGAUUGUCUCUUGACAGCGGCC